UACGAAGGGGGCUAGCGUUGUUCGGAUUUACUGGGCGUAAAGCGCACGUAGGCGGAUCGUUAAGUUAGGGGUGAAAUCCUGGAGCUCAACUCCAGAACUGCCUCUAAUACUGGCGAUCUAGAGUCCGGAAGAGGUGAGUGGAACUCCUAGUGUAGAGGUGGAAUUCGUAAGAUAUUAGGAAGAACACCAAGGUGGCGAAGGCGGCUCGACUG
rnacentral:rRNA from 1 species